GUUUUCUUUCUUCUUU
rnacentral:sRNA from 1 species